CCUACGGGAGACAGCAGUGGGGAAUAUUGCGCAAUGGGCGCAAGCCUGACGCAGCGACGCCGCGUGAGGGAUGAAGGUCUUCGGAUCGUAAACCUCUGUCAGCAGGGAAGAACGGUCACUGUGCUAAUCAGCAGUGAAUUGACGGUAACUGCAAAGGAAGCACCGGCUAACUCCGUACCAGCAGCCGCGGUAAUACGGAGGGUGCGAGCGUUAAUCGGAAUGACUGGGCGUAAAGCGCUCGUAGGCGGUAUGUCAAGUCAAGGGUGAAAUCCCGGCGCUCAACGUGGGAACUGCCUUUGAAACUGGCAAACUGGAGUGUGUGAGAGGAUAGUGGAAUUCCAGGUGUAGGGGUGAAAUCCGUAGAUAUCUGGAGGAACAUCAGUGGCGAAGGCGACUAUCUGGCACAUAACUGACGCUGAGGAGCGAAAGCGUGGGUAGCAAACAGGAUUAGAUACCCCUGUAGUC
rnacentral:rRNA from 1 species